rnacentral:lncRNA from 1 species
AUUGCUCUGAAUAUACGCGGAUAUUUAAAGUGCAUGGCGGAUUUAUUAAUUAUUAUGGAUAACAUCCAGCAGUAAGAAAUAUAAAGGUUCACUGCAGUUUUGACUAUGCUCAACAAAUAUUGAACCCAUACUAUGCUCAGCAAGUAGGGCCCUUGUAUUUUAAGCCAACACAUAAAUGCAGAUUCUUUGGAGCUUCUGUGAAUCCUCAUGCAGUACAGAACUGCUGUUGGAAAAGGAGCAAACAGUGUGGUAUCUAUGGUCCACCAUCACUUCAAGCAUCAUGGCUAUGGAGAAAAGAAUGUUUCAUUACAUAUGCACAAUUAUAGUGGACGAAAUAAGAGAAGUUG